UCNUCUGGCUCAGCUGGGGGCGUGCGGUGGGUACGGGCUGGCUUGAGUGCGGUAGGGGAGGCUGGAACUCCUGGUGUAGCGGUGAAAUGCGCAGAUGUCAGGAGGAACACCGGUGGCGAAGGCGGGCCUCUGGGCCGUUACUGACGCUGAGGAGCGAAAGCGUGGGGAGCGAACAGGAUUAGAUACCCUGGUAGUCCACGCUGUAAACGUUGGGCACUAGGUGUGGGGGGUCUUUCCGGGUCCUCCGCGCCGUAGCUAACGCAUUAAGUGCCCCGCCUGGGGAGUACGGCCGCAAGGCUAAAACUCAAAGGAAUUGACGGGGGCCCGCACAAGCGGCGGAGCAUGCGGAUUAAUUCGAUGCAACGCGAAGAACCUUACCAAGGCUUGACAUGUGCCGGUUGUCCUUCGGAGACGGGGGGUCCUCCCUAUUUGUGGGGGUCGGUUCACAGGUGGUGCAUGGUUGUCGUCAGCUCGUGUCGUGAGAUGUUGGGUUAAGUCCCGCAACGAGCGCAACCCUUGUCCCGUGUUGCCAGCACGUCGUGGUGGGGACUCGCGGGAGACUGCCGGGGUUAACUCGGAGGAGGGUGGGGAUGACGUCAAAUCAUCAUGCCCCUUAUGUCUUGGGCUUCACGCAUGCUACAAUGGCCGGUACAGUGGGUUGCGAUGUCGUGAGGCGGAGCGAAUCCCUUAAAGCCGGUCUCAGUUCGGAUCGGUGUCUGCAACUCGACACCGUGAAGCUGGAGUCGCUAGUAAUCGCAGAUCAGCAGCGCUGCGGUGAAUACGUUCUCGGGCCUUGUACACACCGCCCGUCACGUCAUGAAAGCUGGCAACACCCGAGGCCCGUGGC
rnacentral:rRNA from 1 species